rnacentral:rRNA from 1 species
GGACCCGCACAAGCGGUGGAUGAUGUGGUUUAAUUCGAUGCAACGCGAAAAACCUUACCUACCCUUGACAUGCCAGGAACUUGCCAGAGAUGGCUUGGUGCUCGAAAGAGAGCCUGGACACAGGUGCUGCAUGGCCGUCGUCAGCUCGUGUCGUGAGAUGUUGGGUUAAGUCCCGCAACGAGCGCAACCCUUAUCAUUAGUUGCUACGCAAGGGCACUCUAAUGAGACUGCCGGUGACAAACCGGAGGAAGGUGGGGAUGACGUCAGGUCAUCAUGGCCCUUAUGGGUAGGGCUACACACGUCAUACAAUGGCCGGUACAGAGGGCUGCCAACCCGCGAGGGGGAGCUAAUCUCAGAAAACCGGUCGUAGUCCGGAUCGCAGUCUGCAACUCGACUGCGUGAAGUCGGAAUCGCUAGUAAUCGCGGAUCAGCUUGCCGCGGUGAAUACGUUCCCGGGUCUU